UACGAAGGGGGCUAGCGUUGCUCGGAAUUACUGGGCGUAAAGCGCACGUAGGCGGAUCUUUAAGUCAGGGGUGAAAUCCUGGAGCUCAACUCCAGAACUGCCUCUGAUACUGGGGAUCUUGAGUCCGGAAGAGGUAAGUGGAACUGCGAGUGUAGAGGUGAAAUUCGUAGAUAUUCGCAAGAACACCAGUGGCGAAGGCGGCUCACUGGCCCGGUACUGACGCUGAGGUGCGAAAGCGUGGGGAGCAAACAGGG
rnacentral:rRNA from 1 species